UUCCCUCGUGCGGCGAGUGAGCGGCAGAGCUCAGAUUUGAAUCGUGCUUUGCGGCACGAGUUGUAGAUUGCAGGUUGGAGUCUGUGUGGAAGGCGGUGUCCAAGUCCCUUGGAACAGGGCGCCCAGGAGGGUGAGAGCCCCGUGGGAUGCCGGCGGAAGCAGUGAGGCCCUUCUGACGAGUCGAGUUGUUUGGGAAUGCAGCUCCAAGCGGGUGGUAAAUUCCAUCUAAGGCUAAAUACUGGCGAGAGACCGAUAGCCGAACAAGUACUGUGAAGGAAAGGAUGAAAAGCACUUUGAAAAAGGAGAGUGAAACCAGCACCGUGAAAUUGGUUGAAGGGGAAGGGUAUUGGCCCCGAAAAGGGGGAUGGCCCACCCGCUCCCUCUCGGGGGCGGGGUUCGGGGCUUUCCCGGGGCAAGCUUGGUUCUUGGCUGCAGGAAAGGGGUCUCGGGAACUGGCUCUUUCAAUGUUAACCAGGGCCAAAUGCUGCGGGGGGACCGAGAUUGCGCCGUGUAGGUCCGAUGCUGGC
rnacentral:rRNA from 1 species